rnacentral:rRNA from 1 species
AACGAACGCUGGCGGCAGGCCUAAAACAUGCAAGUCAAACGCCCCGCAAGGGGAGUGGCGCACGGGUGAGUAGCGCGUGGGAACGUGCCCCUUAGUACGGGACAACGUCGGGAAACUGACGCUAAUACCGUGUAAUAUCUCCGGAUCAAAGAUUUAUCGCUGAGGGAGCGGCCCGCGUCUGAUUAGCUAGUUGGUGAGGUAAAGGCUCACCAAGGCUACGAUCAGUAGCAGGUCUGAGAGGAUGAUCUGCCACACUGGGACUGAGACACGGCCCAGACUCCUACGGGAGGCAGCAGUUAGGAAUAUUGGACAAUGGGGGAAACCCUGAUCCAGCCAUGCCGCGUGUGUGAUGAAGGCCCUAGGGUUGUAAAGCACUUUCGUUGGGGAUGAUAAUGACCGUACCCAAAGAAGAAGCCACGGCUAAAUUCGUGCCAGCCGCCGCCGUAA